rnacentral:rRNA from 1 species
CCUACGGGCGGCAGCAGUAGGGAAUAUUGCUCAAUGGGGGAAACCCUGAAGCAGCAACGCCGCGUGGAGGAUGAAGGUUUUCGGAUUGUAAACUCCUUUUGUUAGAGAAGAUAAUGACGGUAUCUAACGAAUAAGCACCGGCUAACUCCGUGCCAGCAGCCGCGGUAAUACGGAGGGUGCAAGCGUUACUCGGAAUCACUGGGCGUAAAGAGCGCGUAGGCGGGUUAGCAAGUCAGAUGUGAAAUCCUAUGGCUUAACCGUAGAACUGCAUUUGAAACUGUUAUUCUAGAGUAUGGGAGAGGUAGGUGGAAUUCUUGGUGUAGGGGUAAAAUGCGUAGAGAUCAAGAGGAAUACUCAUUGCGAAGGCGACCUGCUAGAACAUAACUGACGCUGAUGCGCGAAAGCGUGGGGAGCAAACAGGAUUAGAUACCCUAGUAGUC